rnacentral:lncRNA from 1 species
UUUUUUUUCCUGUGCUUCCGACCCACACAAGGAAGAAAGAGUUUGGCACGCUUGACAACUCCAAUCAUCUGUGAUCAUUUGCUUGUUUUUUUGUUGCGUGUACGCUAGUAUAUCCAUUAAAUUAUUUUGUUCGCAUUCGUCAUGAAGCACACUUUUUUACACAUAUUAAUAUCGUUUAGAAAACUUUAGAUAUAGCGAAUCGAAUUACAUAAUUAUGUGAGAGAAUCAGCAAACCCCAACCGACGAGGUAACCCGACCAUCAUUAAAUCAUCAGUUGCAUUUUUCAGGAAGCCCAGAACAAGCAAUCUAGAUCCGUCCCACCGAUUCGGGUUUUAAUAAACAGGUGAGGGAGAACGAUGGAUCGAAUGGCACUAACGAGAUCAUUUGGUUUUACAGGAAGGUUAAGGGGAACACUUGAGGAAAAGCUUUACAAAGUUGAUACUUGAGUUGAUAUCCUUCAAAAUCAACUGGGCCGUAAGGUUUGGCACAUGGUCAGACCGGCCUAUGUGACUAUAUCCCAUCCGGCCUGUUUUUUAGAACACACCCGGCCUGUUAUUGUUCGCCACCUCUAGUACUGGACCUUUUUACUGCUUAUUGCUGAGCCCACAGCUGGCCUAGCUGUAUUUGCAGCCCAGGUUGGUGUCUGGUGUUUCGGACUUGCAGUCCACUCCGAACGAAGUGACUAUCUAGGACACAGGUACCCCUAAAAAGAAAAUCUAGGACACAGGUGACUGAAAAAUAAUAAAGUAAAGUAGUACGUAAUAAAGUUUUAGACAUUUUUUAUUUUACCACUAAAUUGCAACUUGGAAAAAAAAAACUGCAACUACAAACAAGCACGGCUGCAACAAAAAUAAAACUAAAGAAUUAACAAAAAUAUGUAACUAACAAGAAACAAAUAACAAACAGAAAUGGCAGAAACUUUAACAAAAAUUCUAAAACUUUGCAAAAGUGACAUUGACAUCAUAAAAAGCGACCGAGACACCAUUGAGAAAAAGUGACUAAAACUUCAACAACAAAGAGAAGUGUUUGCACGGCCACAUCCUCCCCUUUCAUGCUAAGACUCGGUGAAGAUCUUUACUAUCUCUAAAUUUAUAGUUGAUGGUAUCGACACUUGCUAGUUGACAUAAAUCUCACCACUAGAUAAUUGUUGCACCCACAUGUGUCCAAUGCAAAAGCAACCUGAUUUGACACCCGCGAAUAUUCCUUCUUGAUAUAUAUUUAGGACAUGACUAAUCGAUUAUGCCGUAAAUCUAAUUCUCAUGGUCUUAUCAGAAUAGCAACCAUGUACGCAAAAUGCAGGUUUUACACACAUUAUAACAUACAAAAUAUAUAUUGUAAUACUGAGACAUUUGUAAUUGGGGAUCGAGAGCAGUUUAUAACACACAUAAUAUGUCCUGACAUAUACAUCUGAGAGACCAAGAGAAGG